rnacentral:rRNA from 1 species
AUUGAACGCUGGCGGCAGGCCUAACACAUGCAAGUCGAGCGGAGCGGCGGACGGGUGAGUAAUGCCUAGGAAUCUGCCUGUUAGUAGGGUAUACCUUCCGGAAACGGGCGAUAAUACCGCAUACUAUCAGAUGAGCCUAGGUCGGAUUAGCUAGUUGGUGGGGUAAUGGCCUACCAAGGCGACGAUCCGUAACUGGUCUGAGAGGAUGAUCAGUCACACUGGAACUGAGACACGGCCCAGACUCCUACGGGAGGCAGCAGUGGGGAAUAUUGGACAAUGGGCGAAAGCCUGAUCCAGCCAUGCCGCGUGUGUGAAGAAGGUCUUCGGAUUGUAAAGCACUUUAAGUUGGGAGGCGUUACCAACAGAAUAAGCACCGGCUAACUUCGUGCCAGCAGCCGCGGUAAUUC